rnacentral:tRNA from 1 species
GGACUGUUAGCUCAGUUGGCUAGAGCGUUCGAUUCACAUUCGAAAGGCCGGAGGUCCGAGUCCUCCACAGUCCA